AACGAACGCUGGCGGCAGGCCUAACACAUGCAAGUCGAGCGCGCCCUUCGGGGUGAGCGGCGGACGGGUUAGUAACGCGUGGGAAUAUACCCUUUGGUACGGAAUAGCCUCUGGAAACGGAGAGUAAUACCGUAUGGUGCCCUUCGGGGAAAGAUUUAUCGCCAAAGGAUUAGCCCGCGUUAGAUUAGGUAGUUAGGUGGGGGUAAUGGGCCUACCAAGCCUACGAUCUAUAGCUGGUUUUAGAGGAUGAUCAGCAACACUGGGACUGAGACACGGCCCAGACUCCUACGGGAGGCAGCAGUGGGGAAUCUUGGACAAUGGGGGCAACCCUGAUCCAGCCAUGCCGCGUGAGUGAUGAA
rnacentral:rRNA from 1 species